rnacentral:rRNA from 1 species
UACAGAGGUCCCAAGCGUUGUUCGGAUUCACUGGGCGUAAAGGGUGUGUAGGUGGUUGGGUAAGUCUGAUGUGAAAUCUCCGGGCUCAACCCGGAAAUGGCAUUGGAUACUAUUCGGCUAGAGGUUUGGAGGGGGGACUGGAAUUCUCGGUGUAGCAGUGAAAUGCGUAGAUAUCGAGAGGAACACCAGUGGCGAAGGCGAGUCCCUGGACAACACCUGACACUGAGGCACGAAAGCUAGGGGAGCAAACAGG